rfam:Ornithorhynchus anatinus chromosome 4, whole genome shotgun sequence.
AGCAGUGUGGCUCAGUGGAAAGAGCACGAGUUUGGGAGUCAGAGGUCAUGGGUUCAAAUCCUGUCUCUGCCA